rnacentral:tRNA from 1 species
GCCCUUGUAGCUCAGCUGGACAGAGCAGCGGACUUCUAAUCCGACGGUCGGAGGUUCGAGUCCUCCCUGGGGCG